rnacentral:rRNA from 1 species
CCUGUUUAUCAAAAACAUAGCCUAAUGAAACCCGAUAUUAGGUUAUUCCUGCCCAGUGAUUUUUUAAACGGCCGCUUUUGUGCUAAGGUAGCAUAAUAAUUUGCCUUUUAAUUGGAGGCUAGAAUGAAUGGAUUUUUAGAUUAUAACUUUAUUUCUGUGACCCUAAAACUUAAGUUUUAUGUGCAAACACAUAAAUCACUUUAAAAGACCAAAAGACCCCGGGAGCUUUAAUUUUACUCUUAUCUUUAAGAAUUAAAUUUAUACUGGGAGAGUAGGGGGUAUACACCCCUGUCAUAAUAAUUUAUUUCUUUUAUACAAACAAUUUAGCUACCCCGGGGAUAACAGGCUACUCUUUUUUCAAAGUCCAAAUUUACAAAAAGAUCUAGCACCUCGAUGUUGGCUUAAGAGUAAAUAAAAUGUAGCAGUUUUAUUUAAUGGCUUGUUCCGCCAAUAGUUUCUU